rnacentral:rRNA from 1 species
AAUAGAUACCCGGGUAGUCCACGCCGUAAACGAUCGAGUGCUAAGUGUUAGAGGGUUUCCGCCCUUUAGUGCGUGCAGCUAACGCAUUAAGCACUCCGCCUGGGGAGUACGGCCGCAAGGCUGAAACUCAAAGGAAUUGACGGGGGCCCGCACAAGCGGUGGAGCAUGUGGUUUAAUUCGAAGCAACGCGAAGAACCUUACCAGGUCUUGACAUCCUCUGCCAACCCUAGAGAUAGGGCGUUCCCCUUCGGGGGACAGAGUGACAGGUGGUGCAUGGUUGUCGUCAGCUCGUGUCGUGAGAUGUUGGGUUAAGUCCCGCAACGAGCGCAACCCUUGAUCUUAGUUGCCAGCAUUCAGUUGGGCACUCUAAGGUGACUGCCGGUGACAAACCGGAGGAAGGUGGGGAUGACGUCAAAUCAUCAUGCCCCUUAUGACCUGGGCUACACACGUGCUACAAUGGAUGGUACAAAGAGCUGCGAACCCGCGAGGGUAAGCGAAUCUCAUAAAGCCAUUCUCAGUUCGGAUUGUAGG